AGUCGAACGGGCCGCAAGGCCAGUGGCGGAAGGGUGAGUAAGGCGACGGUAACCAACCCCAUGGUUGGGUAUAGCCGCGGGAAACUGCGGGUAAUCCCCAGCGACGUCCGGAGCGGGCAUCCGCCCUGGACCAAAGUCUUGGCGCCGUGGGACGGGCCGUCGUGGUAUUAGGUCGUUGGCGGGGUAAUGGCCCACCAAGCCUAUGAUGCCUACCGGGCGUGCGAGCGUGGCCCGGCACACUGGGACUGAGACACUGCCCAGACUCCUACGGGAGGCUGCAGUCGAGAAUCUUCGGCAAUGGGCGCAAGCCUGACCGAGCGACGCCGCGUGGAGGACGAAGGCCUUCGGGUUGUAAACUCCUGUCGAGGGGGAGGAAGGUCGGGCAACCGGCUUGACCGAUCCCUGGAGGAAGCACGGGCUAAGUUCGUGCCAGCAGCCGCGGUAAGACGAACCGUGCGAACGUUAUUCGGAAUCACUGGGCUUAAAGCGCGUGUAUGCGGAUGGGGACGUCGGUCGCUGAAAUCCCCCGGCUCAACCGGGGAACGGGCACCGAAACGCCCCGUCU
rnacentral:rRNA from 1 species